rnacentral:rRNA from 1 species
GACGAACGCUGGCGGCGUGCUUAACACAUGCAAGUCGAACGGAAAGGCCCUGCUUUUGUGGGGUGCUCGAGUGGCGAACGGGUGAGUAACACGUGAGUAACCUGCCCUUGACUUUGGGAUAACUUCAGGAAACUGGGGCUAAUACCGGAUAGGAGCUCCUGCUGCAUGGUGGGUGAUGGAAAGUUUCGGCGGUUGGGGAUGGACUCGCGGCUUAUCAGCUUGUUGGUGGGGUAGUGGCUUACCAAGGCUUUGACGGGUAGCCGGCCUGAGAGGGUGACCGGCCACAUUGGGACUGAGAUACGGCCCAGACUCCUACGGGAGGCAGCAGUGGGGAAUAUUGCACAAUGGGCGGAAGCCUGAUGCAGCAACGCCGCGUGCGGGAUGACGGCCUUCGGGUUGUAAACCGCUUUCGCCUGUGACGAAGCGUGAGUGACGGUAAUGGGUAAAGAAGCACCGGCUAACUACGUG